rnacentral:rRNA from 1 species
CAAACGACUCUCGGCAACGGAUAUCUCGGCUCUCGAAUCGAUGAAGAACGUAGCGAAAUGGGAUACUUGGGGUGAAUUGCAGAAUCCCGUGAACCAUCGAGUCUUUGAACGCACGUUGCGCCCGAAGCCAUUAGGCCGAGUGCACGUCUGCCUGGGCGUCACGC